AGAUCGAUGAGCUGAUUAAAAUGCAGUUGCUAGUGUCUCAUUUUUCCGAGGAACAAUUGGAUCGUUUCGAAUAUUACAAGCGCUCUGGUUUUUCAAGAGCCACGAUGAAAAAGCUUUAGAUGUUCAAGACCAACUGGCACAUACAGGUCCAUUGCAUCCGGAUGAAAUUCGAGAAGCUGAAAGGAGAAUCAGUGAGAAACAAACAUUAGGAAAGAUGUGACCU